rnacentral:rRNA from 1 species
CCCUUAGAUGUCCGGGGCUGCACGCGCGCUACACUGAAGGAAUCAGCGUGCUAAAACCAUUGUCGAAAGGCAUUGGUAAACCCAUUAAAAUCCUACGUGAUUGGGAUCGGGAAUUGCAAUUAUUUCCCUUGAACGAGGAAUUCCCAGUAAGUGUGGGUCAUAAGCUCGCGUUGAUUACGUCCCUGCCCUUUGUACACACCGCCCGGCGCUGCCCGGGACUGAGCCGUUUCGAGAAAAGCGGGGACUGCUGCUGUCGGGGCUUUCGGGCCUUGGCUUCGGUGGAAACCGCUUUAAUCGCAGUGGCUUGAACCGGGCAAAAGUCGUAACA